rnacentral:misc_RNA from 1 species
AGCAGCCGCGGUAAUUCCAGCUCCAAUAGCGUAUAUUAAAGUUGUUGCAGUUAAAAAGCUCGUAGUUGAAUUUCGGGAUCAAUUUGCUGGUCGUGCCUCUGGUACGUACUGGUAUUAUUGGUUUCUCCUUUCUGACGAACCAUGAUGUCAUUAAUUUGAUGUCGUGGAGAAUCAGGACUGUUACUUUGAAAAAAUUAGAGUGUUUAAAGCAGGCAUUAGCUUGAAUACAUUAGCAUGGAAUAAUGAAAUAGGACGUUUGAUCCUAUUUUGUUGGUUUCUAGGAUUGACGUAAUGAUUAAUAGGGAUAGUUGGGGGCAUUAGUAUUCAAUUGUCAGAGGUGAAAUUCUUGGAUUUAUUGAAGACUAACUACUGCGAAAGCAUUUUGCCAAGGAUGUUUUCAUUAAUCAAGAACGAAAGUUAGGGGAUCGAAGACGAUCAGAUACCGUCGUAGUCUUAACCAUAAACUAUGCCGACUAGGGAUCGGAUGAUGUUAAUUUUUUAAUGACUCAUUCGGCGCCUU